AGGCAUAUUUAGAGACUCUUCUGUUUGGCCUCACACUCCACCAAGCUCUGCACGCUGUACUCUGCACGUGCAGAACUUGGUAGAGUGUGAGGCCAAGCAGAAGAGUCUCCAAAUAUGCCU